rnacentral:rRNA from 1 species
GUAGGGAAUAUUGCACAAUGGAGGAAACUCUGAUGCAGCGACGCCGCGUGAGUGAUGAAGGCCUUCGGGUCGUAAAGCUCUGUCGCAGGGGAAUAACACAAUGAAGGUACCCUGUAAGAAAGGAUCGGCUAACUUCGUGCCAGCAGCCGCGGUAAGACGAGGGAUCCUAGCGUUGUUCGGAAUCAUUGGGCGUAAAGCGGAUGUAGGUGGCUAUGUAAGUCAGAUGUGAAAGCCUGGGGCUCAACUGCAGAAGUGCAUUUGAUACAGCGUAGCUUGAGUGUCGGAGAGGUUACUAGAAUUGUUGGUGUAGUGGUGAAAUACGUAGAUAUCAACAGGAAUACCGGAGGCGAAGGCGGGUAACUGGCCGAACACUGACACUGAGAUCCGAAAGCGUGGGGAUCAAACAGGAUUAGAAACCCGUGUAGUCC